rnacentral:rRNA from 1 species
AGCUCCAAUAGCGUAUAUUAACAUUGUUGCAUUUAAAAAGCUCGUAGUUGAAUUAAAUCAUAAAAUUAUAUUAUGGUUUUUGUUAAAAAAUACUAUAAAAUAAAUAUGAUAAUUGUAAAUUUGUAAAUUAUAUUAAUUUAUAGUUUAUAAAGGUACAAAUUUUACUGUGAGAAAAUUAGAGUGUUUAAAGCAAAAAAAAGUUUUGAAUACAUUAGCAUGGAAUAAUAAAAAAAUAUAGAAAAAGAUUUUGUUGGUUAAAAUAAAAAAUAAAGAUUAAUAGGGUCAGUUGUGGGUAUUUAAAUUUCAUAGUCAGAGGUGAAAUUCUGGGAUUUAUGAAAGAUAAACAAAUGCGAAAGCAUUUACCAAGGAUGUUUUCA